rnacentral:rRNA from 1 species
UACAGAGGGUGCAAGCGUUAAUCGGAAUUACUGGGCGUAAAGCGUGCGUAGACGGUUAUGUAAGUCGGGUGUGAAAGCCCCCGGGCUCAACCUGGGAAUUGCAUUCGAGACUGCAUAGCUAGGGUGCGGAAGAGGGAAGCGGAAUUUCCGGUGUAGCGGUGAAAUGCGCAGAUAUCGGGAGGAACACCAGUAGCGAAGGCGACACUCUGGGCCGGUACUGACGCUGAGGAGCGAAAGCGUGGGGAGCAAACAGG